rnacentral:rRNA from 1 species
UACGUAGGGUGCGAGCGUUAAUCGGAAUUACUGGGCGUAAAGCGUGCCCAGGCGGCUUUGCAAGACAGAUGUGAAAUCCCCGGGCUCAACCUGGGAACUGCAUUUGUGACUGCAAGGCUAGAGUACGGCAGAGGGGGAUGGAAUUCCGCGUGUAGCAGUGAAAUGCGUAGAUAUGCGGAGGAACACCAAUGGCGAAGGCAAUCCCCUGGGCCUGUACUGACGCUCAUGCACGAAAGCGUGGGGAGCAAACAGG